AGCUUGCUGGGGGAUUAGUGGCGAACGGGUGAGUAACACGUGAGUAACCUGCCCUUAACUCUGGGAUAAGCCUGGGAAACUGGGUCUAAUACCGGAUAUGACUCCUCAUCGCAUGGUGGGGGGUGGAAAGCUUUAUUGUGGUUUUGGAUGGACUCGCGGCCUAUCAGCUUGUUGGUGAGGUAAUGGCUCACCAAGGCGACGACGGGUAGCCGGCCUGAGAGGGUGACCGGCCACACUGGGACUGAGACACGGCCCAGACUCCUACGGGAGGCAGCAGUGGGGAAUAUUGCACAAUGGGCGAAAGCCUGAUGCAGCGACGCCGCGUGAGGGAUGACGGCCUUCGGGUUGUAAACCUCUUUCAGUAGGGAAGAAGCGAAAGUGACGGUACCUGCAGAAGAAGCGCCGGCUAACUACGUGCCAGCAGCCGCGGUAAUACGUAGGGCGCAAGCGUUAUCCGGAAUUAUUGGGCGUAAAGAGCUCGUAGGCGGUUUGUCGCGUCUGCCGUGAAAGUCCGGGGCUCAACUCCGGAUCUGCGGUGGGUACGGGCAGACUAGAGUGAUGUAGGGGAGACUGGAAUUCCUGGUGUAGCGGUGAAAUGCGCAGAUAUCAGGAGGAACACCGAUGGCGAAGGCAGGUCUCUGGGCAUUAACUGACGCUGAGGAGCGAAAGCAUGGGGAGCGAACAGGAUUAGAUACCCUGGUAGUCCAUGCCGUAAACGUUGGGCACUAGGUGUGGGGGACAUUCCACGUUUUCCGCGCCGUAGCUAACGCAUUAAGUGCCCCGCCUGGGGAGUACGGCCG
rnacentral:rRNA from 1 species